rnacentral:rRNA from 1 species
CCCAUUGAUAAAUUUAAAAGGCUGCAGUAUAAAUAACUGUACAAAGGUAGCAUAAUAAUUAGUUUUAUAAUUGAAAUCUAGUAUGAAAGAUUUAAUGAAACAUAAACUAUAUAAAUAAAAAUAAAAAUUUAAAUUAAAUUUUAAGUUAAAAUUCUUAAAUUUAAUUAAAAGACGAGAAGACCCUUUAGAAUUUUAUAUAUAAAUUAAUUAAUAUUUAAUUUAAUAAAAUAAUAAAUAAAUUUAUAUAUUUAAUUGGGGUAAUUUUAAAAUUAAAUAAACUUUUAAAUAUUAAUCCAUUAAUUAAUGUACCUAUAAACCUAAAUUUUAGAAUUUUAAAAUAAAUUACCUAAGGGAUAACAGCGUAAUUUUUUUUGAUAGCCCAUAUAUAUAAAAAAGUUUGCGACCUCGAUGUUGAAUUAAGAAUAAAUUAAAAGCAAAAAUUUAA